AUCUUCUUCAAAACCCUAGCCCCCAUUAGUUUUAUCUCACAAUAUACACACAUAACCUGCAUAACCAAGAGAGAGAGAGUGAGAUUCGACCGAGAGAGAGAGAGAACCGAGGGAGAGAGAGGCGAGAUCGAGACGGGUGGUCUCCGGCCACCUGGUCGCGAUGGCAGGGAAGUGGUGCGAGUGGAGGUAUGGUGGGUGAUUGAUACGUGAUGACGAUGGUGGUGGCACAGCGGCGGAGCAGUGGUGUGUGGUACAGUGGCGGCUGGUUACGGCGGACGUGUGCGGCGGCUGGUUACGGCGGACGUGUGCGGCGGCUCCCUUUCCUUCUCCGGUCUCUUCCUGGUUCUGUCGGUGGUCUUCAUCAGCAAAGAACCGAGUGGUGGGGGGUGUCUUGCUUGUAAACGUUGCCCGGAUCUGGAAUCCGGUGACCGGAUUUUGUGUAAGGUGAGAGGGAGAUCGAGAGGAAGGUGAGAUGGAUCAGUUCUUCAAUUGAUUUGUCUGUGUUUUGUUUGAUAAAUAUGUAGAUGAGAGCAUUUGGGAGGGAAACAAGUGUUGAGCAGAUGUGUUUGGGAGCAAAUGUUUUUACUUAGGUUGUUUUCAGGACGUCCAAAGGGUGUAACACCAAAGUUCAGCCUGAAGCCACUAGUGCCAAGACUCUGAGAACUCCUUGGAAUCGAGGUCAAGAUGGCAAACGACUGCAUCGGACCAGAUGUUGAGAAACUGUGAACUAAAGUGAUGAUUGUGCCAAAAAUGUAGUGACUAUUUGAUUAUGUGAACUUGUUCUUUUUGAUUCUGA